AUUGGACGGAGAGUUCGAUCCUGGCUCAGGAUGAACGCUGGCGGCGCGCCUAACACAUGCAAGUCGAACGGCACCCGCCCUCGGGCGGAAGCGAGUGGCGAACGGCU
rnacentral:rRNA from 1 species